GGAAGGAUCAUUAACACGUAUCCACGUUAAUCACCCGAGAACUUACUUAGGACUAGCUGAGGAUCAAGUAAAAAGCUUCGGCUUCCGGCCCCUUGUUCCUUUCUUCGGAGGGGAACACAGUGUGGACAUUGAUCCCCGGCUUCCUAAGCCUGGUAUUCAUCUCUUCGGAGAUGAACACCAACAACAAGAACCUUGCGCGGAGUCUCUCGAGACUCCUCAAGGGGUUCUUGAUGAGUAAACCCCUUUUUCUUUUUUUCGUUUGCCUUGUGCAAAGGAAAAAAAACCCUAAAAGCCGUCUCUUUGUAGACCGCUUUUAACCGAAUACUGUACAACUCUUAGCAACGGAUAUCUUGGUUCUGGCAACGAUGAAGAACGCAGCGAAAUGCGAUACGUAGUGCGAAUUGCAGAAUUCAGUGAAUCAUCAAAUCUUCGAACGCAGAAUGCGCUCUCGGGAUAUUCCUGGGAGCACGCCUCUUCGAGUGUCGACCUAACUUCAGUACCUUCCCUGACUUGCGAAUCGGGUUUCAUCAAGCACCGAUGUGGUCUCCCUGGUGAGAAAGAGCAAGCCCUCUUCCGAGGGUAUCUGGGCACACUUCUAUGGCGAAUGGCGAAGUUAGUCUGACUAACAACGCUAAACGCGUUUUGUGCUUGGUUACUUUCAAUUAUGGGUCUUGAGUAUCACUGGGUAGCAAGCCCUCGUGUUUGAUGUUCAACUUGAUUGUUGGGGGUUCCAAGGUGAAAUUGAGGAUCUUCGCCGAUCCUUUAAAUACAUGCUUCUAUCAAACAAACUCCAGCUUGACUACUGGACUGAAAUUGGGAAUUCGUUCCCUUUUUGGUACUUUAAACCAAAAAAACUAACGAAAACUCCAAACCCCUACCGUCGGGACAACGCUAAACGCGUUCGUGACGGUGGAUAACGUUCACAGGGUAUCGGCUUCGGCUUUUACUUUGUGAACUUACAUCCGAGCCUUCACGAUUCUAUGGCGAAUGGCGAAGACUUGUGGUAGGGUUAGUAGAGUUCUAGUAAGUUUUGGCGGGGUCCUGUCUGGAUAGAUAGUAGUGUUUUUCGAGGAGCUUGCCUUUCCGGCAAACACCUCAACCGACUUCCUGUCAACCUCGGGAUUCGCAUCACCGGGUUGGGGAUCACCGCUCUGAACUUUGGAGAAAAAGAAACAUCUGUUUUUUGAGUAUCUAUUGUUGUAAGGGCAAAACUCUUUUAUAGACCUCGGAUGAAGCGAGAGGACCCGCCGAAUUUAAGCAUAUUAUUAAGCGGAGGAAAAGAAACUAACAAGGAUUCCCCUAGUAACGGCGAGUGAAGCGGGAAAAGCUCAAAAUGAAAAUCGGGUGGCUCAACAGUCAUUCGAGUUGUAAUCUAAAGGCUUGUUUUCUGCGUGUGACCCGGGUAUAACUCUUUUGAAACAAGGGAUCAUAGAGGGUGAAAAUCCCGUCUUUGACCCGGAGUUCGCCGCUUACGAUACAUGUCCAAAGAGUCGAGUAGCUUGGGAUUGCUGCUCAAAAUGGGUGGUAAACCUCAUCUAAAGCUAAAUACCGGCCAGAGACCGAUAGCGAACAAGUACCGUGAGGGAAAGAUGAAAAGAACUUUGAAAAGAGAGUUAAAAAGUACUUGAAAUUGCUAAGAGGGAACCUGUGGAAACCAGUCAUUCUCUGGGCUAUACUUACUACCUGCUAUUGGAGGGCAGCGGUGCGUAGUGUCCUAGACCUGCGCCUGUUGUCGGACAUUUAGUAGGUGGGUCCUGUAGUUCAGGGAGUGUCAGAGUCAGUUCUUUUCGCCGGAGAAAACCAGAGGGAAGGUAGGGUAGGUGGGUUUCUCACUUACCUGUUAUAGCCUUCUGGCGAUACGGUGGAGGGGACUGAGGUAAAGAAAAGGCAUCCCUCCUUGUGGGGGCAAAGGAACCCAUCCCUAUUGCGUUAUUAAGGGUGGCCAACAAAGUUGUCCCUUUUAAGAAGCGUGGUACUGGGUGGGCUACUAUUCGUGUCUUCGCGAUUCUGACGAAAUGGUUUUCACUGACCCGUCUGGAAACACGGACCAAGGAGUCUAACAUAUAUGCGAGUAUUUGGGUGGAAAACCCUGAUGCGUAAUGAAAGUGAAGGCAGCUUCGGCUGCUGAGGUAGGAACCUGGGUUUCGGCCUGGGGGCACUAUCGACCGAUCUACACUCGUGAUAGAUUUGAGUAAGAGCAUAUCUGUUGGGACCCGAAAGAUGGUGAUCUAUGCCUGAACAGGGUGAAGCCAGGGGAAACUCUGGUGGAGGCUCGAAGCGUUACUGACGUGCAAAUCGUUCGUCUGAUUUGGGUAUAGGGGCGAAAGACUAAUCGAACCAUCUAGUAGCUGGUUCCCUC
rnacentral:misc_RNA from 1 species